UAGCUCAUUGGUAGAGCGUGGUGUUUGCAACACCAGGGUUGUGGGUUCGAUUCCCAC
rnacentral:tRNA from 1 species